rnacentral:rRNA from 1 species
GACGAACGCUGGCGGCGUGCUUAACACAUGCAAGUCGAACGGAAAGGCCCUGCUUUUGUGGGGUGCUCGAGUGGCGAACGGGUGAGUAACACGUGAGUAACCUGCCCUUGACUUUGGGAUAACUUCAGGAAACUGGGGCUAAUACCGGAUAGGAGCUACUGCUGCAUGGGGGGGGUUGGAAAGUUUCGGCGGUUGGGGAUGGACUCGCGGCUUAUCAGCUUGUUGGUGGGGUAGUUGCUUACCAAGGCUUUGACGGGUAGCCGGCCUGAGAGGGUGACCGGCCACAUUGGGACUAAGGUAGGCAGCAGACUGCUACGGGAGGCAACAGUGGGGAAUAUGGCACAAUGGGCGGAAGCCUGAUGCAGCAACGCCGCGUGCGGGAUGACGGCCUUCGGGUUGUAAACCGCUGUCGCCUGUGACGAAGCGUGAGUGACGGUAAUGGGUAAAGAAGCACCGGCUAACUACGUG